UCUUCAGUUCCUAAGCUCCGAGUAUGCGGCUGAGUCCGACAUACCCAAUAUUGAAGUGACUCUCACUUCCAGUACACCGGCCACGCAAGUAGACAGGGCUCAGCAACUCAACAUAGGCAUUUUGCCGGAGGAUUAUGACCGCUUCUACGGCCCAAGAUUCAACGAACCGGGAUUCCGAGUGUCCAUGACUAACAAUCGGCCGAAAUCACGUGGACACGUUACUCUGCGUUCCAAGGAUCCCGAUGAAUACCCGGAUAUCAACCCCGGCAUUUUUCAACACCCAGAUGACAUUAAAGCGGCUGCUCGAGGUACGAGGGUCUUCAUCGAUUCGAUGCUCAACACGAGCGCCAUGAAGAGCAUCGGUGCCAAGCCAUGGGGCGUCACCUUUCCACCUUGUGCUGAGGCAGGUGCCCAGUGGAGCUUGGGGUACAUCGAGUGCCUUUUCCGCCAUUGGGCAUAUCCAUCCUGGCACACGUGCUGCACCGUGCCGAUGGGUUCACAUGCGGAGGCGAUCCUGGACGAAA